CCUACGGGAGGCAGCAGUGAGGAAUAUUGGUCAAUGGACGCAAGUCUGAACCAGCCAAGUAGCGUGCAGGAUGACGGCCCUCCGGGUUGUAAACUGCUUUUAGUUGGGAAUAAAGUGAGGCACGUGUGCCUUUUUGUAUGUACUUUAUGAAUAAGGAUCGGCUAACUCCGUGCCAGCAGCCGCGGUAAUACGGAGGAUCCGAGCGUUAUCCGGAUUUAUUGGGUUUAAAGGGAGCGUAGAUGGGUUGUUAAGUCAGUUGUGAAAGUUUGCGGCUCAACCGUAAAAUUGCAAUUGAUACUGGCAGCCUUGAGUACAGUUGAGGUAGGCGGAAUUCGUGGUGUAGCGGUGAAAUGCUUAGAUAUCACGAAGAACUCCGAUUGCGAAGGCAGCUUACUAAACUGCCACUGACAUUGAUGCUCGAAAGUGUGGGUAUCAAACAGGAUUAGAUACCCGAGUAGUC
rnacentral:rRNA from 1 species